CAUGGCGAGCAGUCCGGCGACGUAAACCGAGACCGACACGAUUUCCUUGGUCGAGGCAUACAGCGCAGCGAGAACGACAAGGGCUAUUGCGGCGAUCGAUCCGAACGCGAUGCCGAGCACAUGAACGACGCCGUCCGNUAGUCCCAGCGCACCACGCCGCCGCCCGCGACGCGGGCGUGGGAGCUGAGCUGCUUCAAUCGGAAGAUCGUCAUGUGGCACUGUCCGACAAGCGUGUGGUCCAAUCUAGCAUGAC
rnacentral:misc_RNA from 1 species